rnacentral:rRNA from 1 species
GCGCGCCUAACACAUGCAAGUCGAACGAGAGAGAAGGAGCUUGCUUCUUCGAUCGAGUGGCGAACGGGUGAGUAACGCGUGAGGAACCUGCCUCAAAGAGGGGGACAACAGUUGGAAACGACUGCUAAUACCGCAUAAGCCCACGGGUCGGCAUCGAUCUGGGGGAAAAGGAGCAAUCCGCUUUGAGAUGGCCUCGCGUCCGAUUAGCUAGUUGGUGAGGUAAUGGCCCACCAAGGCGACGAUCGGUAGCCGGACUGAGAGGUUGAACGGCCACAUUGGGACUGAGACACGGCCCAGACUCCUACGGGAGGCAGCAGUGGGGAAUAUUGCACAAUGGGGGAAACCCUGAUGCAGCGACGCCGCGUGGAGGAAGAAGGUCUUCGGAUUGUAAACUCCUGUUGUUGAGGAAGAUAAUGACGGUACUCAACAAGGAAGUGACGGCUAACUACGUGCCAGCAGCCGCGGUAAAACGUAGGUCACAAGCGUUGUCCGGAAUUACUGGGUGUAAAGGGAGCGCAGGCGGGAGGACAAGUUGGAAGUGAAAUCUAUGGGCUCAACCCAUAAACUGCUUUCAAAACUGUUUUUCUUGAGUAGUGCAGAGGUAGGCGGAAUUCCCGGUGUAGCGGUGGAAUGCGUAGAUAUCGGGAGGAACACCAGUGGCGAAGGCGGCCUACUGGGCACCAACUGACGCUGAGGCUCGAAAGUGUGGGUAGCAAACAGGAUUAGAUACCCUGGUAGUCCACACCGUAAACGAUGAUUACUAGGUGUUGGAGGAUUGACCCCUUCAGUGCCGUAGUUAACACAAUAAGUAAUCCACCUGGGGAGUACGACCGCAAGGUU